CCCUUAUUUCCAUUGUGUUUUGUGCCAAAUUCUAUUUUCGAAAAAAAUGAAUAUUGAAGAAAAGGCUCAGCUCCUUUCUUUGUUUAUCACGAAACGUUCGUGUUGACGCAUUUAAGUAUCGCGUUAUUUCAGCACCUGCCAGUUCCGGGUUUGCGUCCUGACCAAGUUCAUUACGUUCCGAUCUAUUUCAGCCUUUGUCCUUUCAGUUCCUUUGUGCCGUUUACCUCAUUGGCGAUUCCCAAAGCCCUCGAGUACAUGACCAAAACUUCUUACAGCCGCUGUGAGACCUAACAGCCUGACGAACAUCUUGGGCCUCAGACCAGGAAAUUGAUGUUACAAUCAAAAGAUGGCUACAUUUGGAUCCUGAUAGGGGUGGUGACAGGAAGGAGA